CGGACAUAAGGAUAUGCCAGUCACUAAACACCAUGUCAAUGGUCAUAGUUAAGGACCUGCAGGAUGCAGAGGGUCACCAUCUAAUGUGCCAGUACAAGUUGAGGCUUUACUGCUUUAGCCUUUAGCAUGGGUUGGUUCACACCCUUGGCCUUUAACUUCACCAUUUGGAUACAAAGAGAGUUGGUUUUGUGACAUUGGAAAGAAAGAAAUAAAAAUGAACCACAACAUGAUCAUCCCUGUGUUGCUCAUCAAGAUCACAAGCUUGCUUUACUGCACAUCCUGAUGACAAAGUUGUUGUCUUCCCUAUUAACAAUUUAACAUGACUUGUUCCUUAGUUCUUACCUCGCUAACAUGACUUGUUCCUUACCUAGUACUACUAGAAUUCGUUUUAACUGGUUUUGAAGGCAUUUGCCAUGCUUAUUACAGUAUGUAAUUCAUGACUAGUCUUGCCACCACAGUAAACAGUAUGUAAUUCAUGACUAGCCUUAGAUAUGAAAAACUGAAGAUCAAAACCAAGAAAUUAUAAUUAAUCACUACAACACAAUCUGAGAAACAUAAAAAUUCAGAAUACAACCAAGUAGAUCCAAUAGAAGGCAUGAAAAAUCCCACAGAUCCCGUGGCUUCUAAGGUAUGCAAAGUUACUCGCUCAAUGAGUCAAUGAAAGUAAUUCUUCCAAAGAAUCGUUUUUCUUUCAAUACAAUUCAAUCCAGUCGAAGGCAUGAAAAAUCCCUGCAUAUACCAUUAAAGGAUAGCUAAACUGAGCACAAUGGAUAUGCAGGGAAACCAACGCUUUCUACCAGAAACUCAUGAGUACCAUACAUACCAACUAUGUUGCUGGACUACUGACAUGUUUUAAACCAACAUCAAACACAGGUGAACAAAACUCCACAACACAAUCACCACUUAAGAAUCCAUUAGGGUUUCCCAUGGCUUCUUCACUCUUAGAUCUACUUUUAUCUUCUUUCUUCUUCAACCAAAAAAGUCAAGAUAUUCAUUUAUUGAUAAGAUACCAUUUCUUCAGUACAAAGCACAUAAGUUAGGUUAUGUGAUAUUGCUUUCACGUGAUUCGAGCAGUAGAUAAUAUAUUAAUAUCUAUGAUUUGUUUUGUUUGAGAACAAAGCAAAGUUUGAAUAACACUACUUGGUGGUUUGUACUUAGAUUCUAAAACAAAGGUCCAAGUGAACUAGACAACUAGAAUGAAAUAUUGCAGAAAGCAAACAGUUUUUUGUUAUGCGAGGAUAAAGAGUAUCAUUUAAACUCGUCACCAGAAUACCAGAUCGAUGUGGAUGGAUCAUAGCAGUGAGCUUUAGUGCUUUACUACAUGUUCUUUAGUGCUCAUGACAUAUAAUGAGACCAUGCUCAUUAAAAAACAGGCUUACCACAACAUUUCAAAGCCAACCAAAAAAAAAAAAAAACACAUAGGUUCAAAUCUUCCUAUCGUGCUGCUGGUUUAAUGUAGGUCAUAUUUACUGAUCACACAGACUGGAUGCGAUAAUACAAAGUCCAUUCUGCAUGCUCGCCAUGUAGUGGUUCAUUUAGGAGUAAGCACCCCGGCAUUGGGUGAAGUUGGGUAGGAUACAUGCCCCAGACAUAAGGGUAUCACUAAACAAUUCAACCAUCUGUCAAUGAUCAGAGUUUAAAACCUACAGACUGCAGAGGACCACAAUCUAAUGUACCAGUAAUUGUUGAGGCUUUAAUGAAGGGCUAAAAAUUCAGAUAUAAAAGAGUUGAUACACUGUAAUAACAUCCUUCAGUAUAGGAAAGAAAAUGAGCCACAGCAUGAUCAUCCCAGUUUUGCUCAAGAUCAAAAGGCGUGCAUCUGGCUGCAACUAGCUGUACUGCCCAUUGUGAAGACGAAGUUGCUGUCUUCUCCACUAACAUGACAAGUUCCUUACCUACUAGUAGAAUUAGAUAUAACAUUGCUACUCUCUUCUUUAUAAUUUGUGCCUUCGACAUGCUCAUCGUAAUUCAUGUUUGCAUAUAUAGGUUAAAUUAAGAUAAACUACAAUCACAAUAAACAGAUCUUUGUUCCAUCAGAAACUUCAAUUCAAAUACAAUAUAUGAUGACAACAGGCAAAUAAAAGAAGUGCAACCCAUCAACAACAGCAGAACAAAUUGGUAGCCUAAAUAUGACAAACUGAAGACUAAGACCAAAUAACAAAUAAUCAAUUGAUAUAACACAGCUUUGAAACAUAAAAUGAAAUACAAGAUUUUGAUUUAUCCUAAUUCAGUCAUUUGAAUUGUGUUGUUCCAAAUAGAAGGCAUGAAAAAUCCCUGGACAGAAUGGCAUAUCUCAUAGCAAGUCCAAAUCAGAAGAGUCACAAGUAUGAUCUCGAGGACUGGGCAUUGAAAGUUUGAAACAGCUUAACCUACUAAAGAGAUUGUGUCCUGAUUCAUCUAUAAGAAAAUAUUUGUUCCAGGGGAAGGCAUGAGAACUCCAUGCAUAUCCCAUCAAGGGAUAGCUAAACUGAGCACAAUGGAUAUGCAGGGAAGCCAGCGUUUUCUACUGUGAACUCAUGAGUACCAUACAUACCAACUAUGUCGUUGGAUUGCUUCCAAUGUUAAAGCCAACAUCACACAGGUGAAAAAUACUCAACACCACCUGACACUUAAGAAGCCAUGAGAGUUUCCCAUGGCUUCUUCACUCUUCUUCUUCUCUGUCUCAAGAGUGAGUAGAAACUAGAUCUCCUUUUAUCUUCUUUCUUUACCAACCAAUAGAAGUCAAGAUAUGUAUUUAUUGAUAAAAUACCAUUUCUUUAGUACAAAGCACAUGAGUUAGGUUUGCCUGAUUUCACCUUCACGUGAUUCU
rnacentral:lncRNA from 1 species